UUUCCGUAGGUGAACCUGCGGAAGGAUCAUUCAUAAUAAGUGUUUUACUGCACUUUUUAAAAAUAGUACUCACCUUGUGUGCAAUGUUGUGUUUCUUUUCGGAGAAACACCUACACCAACCUACAACCUUGAACCACUUUGUCUGAAAAACUAUUAUGAAUACUUAAUUCAAAAUACAACUUUCAACAACGGAUCUCUUGGCUCUCGCAUCGAUGAAGAACGGC
rnacentral:misc_RNA from 1 species